rnacentral:rRNA from 1 species
GAGUUUGAUCAUGGCUCAGGAGGAACGCUGGCGGCGUGCCUAACACAUGCAAGUCGAGCGAGAAAUAGUCAGACGGAGAUUUCGGUUGAAGGAUGGUUAUGGAAAGCGGCGGACGGGUGAGUAACGCGUAGGCAACCUGCCUCAUGCAGAGGGAUAGCCUCGGGAAACCGGGAUUAAGACCUCAUAAGGCCAAGGGGACACAUGUUUUCGUGGUCAAAGAUUUAUCGGCAUGAGAUGGGCCUGCGUCUGAUUAGCUGGUUGGUGAGGUAACGGCUCACCAAGGCGACGAUCAGUAGCCGACCUGAGAGGGUAAACGGCCACAUUGGAACUGAGACACGGUCCAAACUCCUACGGGAGGCAGCAGUGGGGGAUAUUGCACAAUGGGCGAAAGCCUGAUGCAGCAACGCCGCGUGAGCGAAGAAGGCCUUUGGGUCGUAAAGCUCUGUCGAUAGGGAAGAAAGAGAUGACG